rnacentral:tRNA from 1 species
CGGGACUGACGGGGCUCGAACCCGCAG